rnacentral:rRNA from 1 species
GAUGAACGCUGGCGGCGUGCCUAAUACAUGCAAGUCGAGCGAACAGACGAGGUGCUUGCUCCUCUGACGUUAGCGGCGGACGGGAGAGUAACCCGUGGAUAACCAACCUAUAUGACUAGGAUAACUUCGGGACACCGGAGCGAAUACCGGAUAAUAUAUUGCACCGCAUGGUUCAAUAGUGAAAGACGGUCUUGCUGUUACUUAUAGAUGGUUCCGCGCCGCAUUAGCGAGUUGGUAAGGUAACGGCUUACCACUACAACGAUGCGUAGCCGACCUGGGAGAUGGAUCGGCCACACUGGAAGUGAAACACGGGCCAGACUCCUACUGGAAGAAGCAGUAGGGAAUCUUCCGCAAUAGGCGAAAGCCUGACGGAGCAACGCCGCGUGGGUGAAGAAGGUCUUCGGAUCGGAAGACUCUAUUAUUAGGGAAGAACAAAUGUGUAAGUAACUAUGCACGUCUUGACGGUACCUAAUCAGAAAGCCACGGCUAACUACGUG